rnacentral:tRNA from 1 species
GUGGGUGUAGCUCAGUGGUAGAGUGCAUGUUUAGCACGCACGAGGUCCUGGGUUCAAUCCCCAGUACCACCA